CGGUUCGAUAACUGAUGUUGAUGCAGC
rnacentral:sRNA from 1 species